AAAUUGAAGAGUUUGAUCAUGGCUCAGAUUGAACGCUGGCGGCAGGCCUAACACAUGCAAGUCGAACGGUAACAGGAAGCAGCUUGCUGCUUUGCUGACGAGUGGCGGACGGGUGAGUAAUGUCUGGGAAACUGCCUGAUGGAGGGGGAUAACUACUGGAAACGGUGGCUAAUACCGCAUAACGUCGCAAGACCAAAGAGGGGGACCUUCGGGCCUCUUGCCAUCAGAUGUGCCCAGAUGGGAUUAGCUUGUUGGUGAGGUAACGGCUCACCAAGGCGACGAUCCCUAGCUGGUCUGAGAGGAUGACCAGCCACACUGGAACUGAGACACGGUCCAGACUCCUACGGGAGGCAGCAGUGGGGAAUAUUGCACAAUGGGCGCAAGCCUGAUGCAGCCAUGCCGCGUGUAUGAAGAAGGCCUUCGGGUUGUAAAGUACUUUCAGCGGGGAGGAAGGUGUUGUGGUUAAUAACCGCAGCAAUUGACGUUACCCGCAGAAGAAGCACCGGCUAACUCCGUGCCAGCAGCCGCGGUAAUACGGAGGGUGCAAGCGUUAAUCGGAAUUACUGGGCGUAAAGCGCACGCAGGCGGUCUGUCAAGUCGGAUGUGAAAUCCCCGGGCUCAACCUGGGAACUGCAUUCGAAACUGGCAGGCUUGAGUCUUGUAGAGGGGGGUAGAAUUCCAGGUGUAGCGGUGAAAUGCGUAGAGAUCUGGAGGAAUACCGGUGGCGAAGGCGGCCCCCUGGACAAAGACUGACGCUCAGGUGCGAAAGCGUGGGGAGCAAACAGGAUUAGAUACCCUGGUAGUCCACGCCGUAAACGAUGUCUACUUGGAGGUUGUGCCCUUGAGGCGUGGCUUCCGGAGCUAACGCGUUAAGUAGACCGCCUGGGGAGUACGGCCGCAAGGUUAAAACUCAAAUGAAUUGACGGGGGCCCGCACAAGCGGUGGAGCAUGUGGUUUAAUUCGAUGCAACGCGAAGAACCUUACCUGGUCUUGACAUCCACAGAACUUUCCAGAGAUGGAUUGGUGCCUUCGGGAACUGUGAGACAGGUGCUGCAUGGCUGUCGUCAGCUCGUGUUGUGAAAUGUUGGGUUAAGUCCCGCAACGAGCGCAACCCUUAUCCUUUGUUGCCAGCGGUCCGGCCGGGAACUCAAAGGAGACUGCCAGUGAUAAACUGGAGGAAGGUGGGGAUGACGUCAAGUCAUCAUGGCCCUUACGACCAGGGCUACACACGUGCUACAAUGGCGCAUACAAAGAGAAGCGACCUCGCGAGAGUAAGCGGACCUCAUAAAGUGCGUCGUAGUCCGGAUUGGAGUCUGCAACUCGACUCCAUGAAGUCGGAAUCGCUAGUAAUCGUGGAUCAGAAUGCCACGGUGAAUACGUUCCCGGGCCUUGUACACACCGCCCGUCACACCAUGGGAGUGGGUUGCAAAAGAAGUAGGUAGCUUAACCUUCGGGGGGGCGCUUACCACUUUGUGAUUCAUGACUGGGGUGAAGUCGUAACAAGGUAACCGUAGGGGAACCUGCGGUUGGAUCACCUCCUUACCUUAG
rnacentral:rRNA from 1 species